rnacentral:lncRNA from 1 species
GGGCCAAACAGCACUUGUUAAAUCCUUUUUUAUGAAGGAUGGCAUACUAAUAAAAAUAAUAAUUUAUGGGAGGGGAGUGGCACUAGCAAGAAAUACGUUGCUAUUCAGGAUUCAAGCCUUCCAGCUAUGAUAUAUCUUAGAAGACUACAUUCUAUUCCAUUCUCCACCUUUUCUAUUCCACCCAGCAGUGACAGUGCAAUUCCAUACAUGUGUACUCAGAAGUAAGUCUCAUUGACCUCAAUGGGCUUACUCCUAGGUAAGUCAAUUUAAGAUUGCAGACUUAGUGUUCUGUGGCUCAUUGGGUUGUUAACUUGUGGAAGGGGAGGUUGGUCCCUUAGGGUCCUCUGUCAAAUAUUUUUUUCUUGUAUUUCUACAAACUUUGGUGUUCUGUCUGAUAGCUUCACCUUGACUGUCUGUGGCCUGGAUUUGGCUGCAAUUCUGUCUCCCUUCAUGCACAGAGCUUGCUAUUAGAGGAAGUGGUACAUUUCUUUUUUUAACCAAUUACCUAUUUUGUAAUUUUUAUAUUUUAACAUGUGUUCAGCUGCUAAGUUUUAUAAACUAGAAAGCCCUGAUUUGGGCCAAUGUCUUGGUCUGUUCCCUGUCUUACAUUGGACUCCAUCUGUUUUCAGGAGCCAUUGCCAAAAACAAAGGUUUGGGCAGGUACAAGUGAGAGAGGGCUGUUCAAGUAGGUUAAGACGAGGCAGAAUAAUUUGUUAAUAGUGGUGAAGGGUUAUCUGGAAGAUAUGAGAAAGCUAAACGAUGGGCAUAGCUACGAUAGUGAAAACCACAGUUAAAACCAUUAGUAGGUUUAGGUUGCUAGUCCCAUUGUAAAAAGCCCAGGAGGCUUUAAAAAUUAAGAAAUUCCAGUACAACCAGGUUUUGUCAUUGGAUAACAACCCCAUAUUUAUUUUCCAGACCACAAUAUAUUCUACCUGAAAAUAAUGGAGUGUUGAUUGUUAUGCUGCUAUGAUUAUUGUGCGGCAUGUAAUUCCACAAAGCUAAUUGACUCCUACUUGUUGGUGACAUAAGUGAUCAUUAAUGCUAUUUUUAAAAAAUCAAAAUUACUUGUUGUUUGUGUGUGCCUCCUCUAUAAGAGUAGUGUUUAUUAGUUUUGUUUAUUAGGUAGUCCUGAAAAUGUACAGUUACAAAAUAUAAGGAUUUCAAUUAUAUUUAUCAGCGCUUGAUUUCUAAACGUAACAGCCUUGGCAGUAAAUUCUCCCUAGAAGCAAUACGAUGUGUCCUAUAACCUUUCUUUUUAUGAUACUAUGUCUCCCCUUCUGUAUUACUACAUCAAAUAUAUUGAACAGGUCUUGAACCUGGCUCCAGGACCAAACCUGGUGAGCCCUGGAACACAUUUAAUUCUGCUUAAAAGAUCAGUACAGGAUAUACUGCUGCCCUAAAGAUUAAAAUUCUUCCCUUGGAGCAAAUCAUUGAAACUAGCUAGAUCUUCUCAUAUGUGUAUGCUCUUACUUUGCUCACUGCUUUGCUCCUGUUCUCUUUAAACAUUGAAAGAGCAAGCAAAUACAGUUGUGUGCUACUAUUGCUGUACUUGCAUUUUUCCUCAAAACUGUCAGGCUAGUUUGCCAGUAUUUGGGUCUUCGAAAUUUGUUUCUCUGUGAAGGCUCUAAUCCCUUUAAGGGUGAAAAUUCAAGGUAACAUAACUUUGAAGCACUUAAGAAAUGAAAUUACUUGUAUUCAAAAUGAGUUAAGAUUGAAAAGUAUUAGAAUAUUACAAUAAUAUAUUAAAACAAUUUCAUGUUCACCAUUUAGCUUUUGACUUAGGAUUUUGUAGAUUUAUUUUUUGCUUAUAGCAGAUAUUUAGGUACCCUUCAAAAUAAUUUUUUGCUUGCAGAACAAAUGGUUAUUUUCAUGUAUUUCAGUCUUCUCCUGUGUUCAUCAAAUCAAGUCCUUGAACACUCAUUCUUAUCUUUAUUGCUCGGCUAUCAGCGUUAGAAACUGAGAUACGAAAGCUAGGAGCUAAAUGGAUCCUUAAACCUAGGUUAUGGACAGAACAAUGGAAUGCCCAGGCAUGCUUUUUUUAAUAACACGAAUACAAAGCUGAAAAUGAACUAACUGCAGCUAAAACAGUAUGUUCAUUUUUCACAUGAUCUAGUCCUUCCCUUGCCCAACCACCUAAUAUUCUUAAAAGGCUCUUUUCUCCAGUCUUCAGAGAAUAGCUGGAAGUGACAGAAAAAGGUCCUCCUUUCCUUCCGCUCUGCAGUUUUUAUCUGAAAUCUUAGGUGCAGUACCGCACCCAGAGCUCAAACUGUUCGUGCUAAUGAAAUUCUCAGUUGCAAAAUGUGCCUAGAACAAUGGGAGUUUUGAACAUUGUCUGCUAUCUCAUCCAUCUCCAUUUUAUGGUUCUAGAACAGAUAAUUAAGCAGUCAAUCUGUGACCACUUAGAAAAGGAUGCUGUGAUUACCAAGACCCAGCAUGGGUUUUCUCAAAAGCAAGAAAUGCCAGAUGAAUCACAUUUCUUUUUUUGUUAGAGUUACAUGCUUGUUGGAUCAGGGGAAUGCUGUGGACAUAGUGUAUCUUGAUUUCACCAUUAUAUUCUUGUGCAGAAGCUGGUAAAAUGUGGACAGGAUAAGGUAACUGUUAGGUGGAUUUGUAGUUGUUUGGCUGACCAAACCCAAAGGGUACUCACUAAUUGUUCAACACCAUCCUAGAAAAAAGUGUUAAGUGGAUGCUGAAGGGUUCUGCCUCGGCCUAUUGUUGUUCAACAUCUUCAUAAGUGACUUUGAUGAAGAUAUUGAGGGAGUGCUCAUUAAAUUUGCAGAUGACACCAAACCGGAAAUGUAACCAAUCCCUCUAAAGGCAGAAUUGGGAUUCAGGAUGACCUUAACAGAUUGGGGAAUUGGGCCAAAAUUAACAAAAUGAAUUCCAGUAGGGAAAAAUGUAAGAUUCUACACAGGCAGGAAGAGCCAGUUCCACAGAUACAAUAGCAAAUGUGAAAAGGAUCUUGGGGUCUUAGUAGACCACAAGCUUAGCACGAGUUAACAGUGUGGUGCAGCAGCAAAAAUGCUAAUGCUAAUCUAGGCUGCAUCAACAAAAGUAGAGUGUCCCAAUCAAGGAAAGUAACAGUACUUUCCUUGAACAGUACCUUGCACACCUGAAGUACUGUGCCCAAUUCUGAGCACCACAAUUUAAGAAGGAUAUUCACAAGCUGAAAUGUGUGCAGAUGAGGGCAACAAAGAUGAUCACAGUUCUGGAAACUAAGUCUUAUGAGGAACGGUUGAGAGAGUUGGAUAUGUUUAGCCUGGAAAAGUAAAGUCUGAGAGGGAGAUAUGAUUGUCAUCUUCAAAUAUCUCAAGGGCUGUCACAUAGAAGAUGAAACAAACUUGUUUUCUCCUGUUCCAGAGGGUAGGACCUGAACCAAUGGCUUCAAGUUACAAGAAAGGAGAUUCCAACUAAACAUUAAAGACCUUUCUGACAGUAGGAGCUGUUGGACAGUGGAACAGUCUCCCUCAAGAGGUGGUAGACUCUCCUUCCUUGGAUUGUUUUAAGCAGAGGUUGGAUGGCCAUCUGUCAUGGAUGCUUUAGUUGAGAUUGCUGCAUUGUAGGGGGUUGGACUAGAUGAGCCUAUGGGUCCCUUCCAGCUCUACAAUUCUAUGAUUCUAAGCAUACAUUUUGUUUUCAAGUACUACUCACUCUUUCCCUCUCUGUCUCAAGUUUAAAGGAUUCAGAAUGGUGGUAGAAAAUAGAGAGCUGAGAAGAAAUUAAAACCAAAUCAGCAGUAAUAUCUUAUAGUUAAUUUCAUAGGUUUAAGAUAGAAGGUCUGUGCCUUUAACAAUGUUUUAUGAAUUAACCAAACACUGAAGUAUGUUGGCGUGAAUUAAUAAGCUAGUCUAUUUGUGUCUCUGUACUUAAGUCAAGUUUCUUGAAUGGUGUGUGGGGGGGGGGGAUAAUUGAAAAUACGUGUCUUGAAAAUACCUAUGAAGCAAUUGCUCAGUCGGUAGAGCAUGGGACUCUUAAUUUCAGGGUCAUGGGUUGGAAACAUGGGAAUCUCAGAGAAAUAAAAAAUGAUAGAUUUGUUCAUCCCUAAGAGCAGAAGUGAGGAAGCAUUGGCCACCCAGACACCCAGAUGUGGAUUUUUAGUUCAACAGAAACAUCUGGAGGGCCAAACGUUCCUCACCCCAGGUCAAGGACAUUAACAGAAUCAAGUUAUUAAAAACUCUUCUCCCCAUGCUGUACACGGAGGUAUACCAAGCAGAUAUUCUGUGUGAAUGGGUAGAACAGUAUUUGAAUAUUUUAAAUAAACAAAUUGACAUUAAUCAUCCUGGAGCAAAAAUAUCAGUUCUAAGAGAGAAUAUUCUCUCUUAGAGUAUUCUAUAUAAACUUUAUACAUUGCCUAGAAGUAUAAAUAUUUUGUUCAAAUGCUUUGAUUUUCAGUUGAAAUUGCUAGAACCUGUAGCCCAUUCUAAGUGUUGUUCCAUUGUAAAGGUAAGUAAUUCAGUGCUAUACGGGCUACUUCACUCAUCCAUUCCUUUCACUCCUCAUUGCUUUCCUGUCACUCAGCAUCUACUCCACAUACAUCUGGACCCUUAUCCUGAACAAAUAAUAAAUGCGGCUUCAGGCACUGACCUUGUUUGUUGCUAUUUGUUCCCGUGGUUUUAUGAUUGAUAGUACUGCUGUAGAUUUGAGAAAUUCCUUAAGUGACAGUCCUGAAACCCAUUCUCCGGUGGCCAGUUGUGAUUUCUUAUUGUUUAGUGGAACAACUCUGAAGCAUGUCCCUUCAGGAAGGUACUCACCUAUGCCAAUAUUAUAGUUAUAUGACUGCAGUUGGACUUGUAUUAAAUCUGCAGAACAUUAAUGAUACAGAUAAUAUAGAG